rnacentral:rRNA from 1 species
UACGAAGGGGGCUAGCGUUGUUCGGAAUCACUGGGCGUAAAGGGCGCGUAGGCGGCUUUGUAAGUCGGGGGUGAAAGCCUGUGGCUCAACCACAGAAUUGCCUUCGAUACUGCAUGGCUUGAGACCGGAAGAGGUAAGUGGAACUGCGAGUGUAGAGGUGAAAUUCGUAGAUAUUCGCAAGAACACCAGUGGCGAAGGCGGCUCACUGGACCGGUACUGACGCUGAGGCGCGAAAAGCGUGGGGAGCAAACAGG